rnacentral:misc_RNA from 1 species
UCCGAGUUGACCCCGGCAGUCUCUCACGAGUCCCCGCCAUAACGCGCUGGCAACAUGAGACAAGGGUUGCGCUCGUUGCGGGACUUAACCCAACAUCUCACGACACGAGCUGACGACAGCCAUGCACCACCUGCACACAGGCCACAAGGGAACGACUAUCUCUAGCCGCGUCCUGUGCAUGUCAAACCCAGGUAAGGUUCUUCGCGUUGCAUCGAAUUAAUCCACAUGCUCCACCGCUUGUGCGGGUCCCCGUCAAUUCUUUUGAGUUUCAGCCUUGCGACUGUACUCCCCAGGCGGUAUACUUAACGCGUUAGCUACGGCACAAAAGGGGUCGAUUCCUCUUACAGCAAAUGUGCACCGUUUACAGCUAGGACUAC